GUAGGUGCAAGCGUUGUCCGGAAUUAUUGGGCGUAAAGCGCGCGCAGGCGGUUCUUUAAGUCUGAUGUGAAAGCCCACGGCUCAACCGUGGAGGGUCAUUGGAAACUGGAGAACUUGAGUACAGAAGAGGAAAGCGGAAUUCCACGUGUAGCGGUGAAAUGCGUAGAGAUGUGGAGGAACACCAGUGGCGAAGGCGGCUUUCUGGUCUGUAACUGACGCUGAGGCGCGAAAGCGUGGGGAGCAAACAGGAUUAGAUACCCUGGUAGUCCACGCCGUAAACGAUGAGUGCUAAGUGUUAGGGGGGUUUCCGCCCCCCUUAGUGCUGCAGCUAACGCAUUAAGCACUCCGCCUGGGAGUACGGCCGCAAGGCUG
rnacentral:rRNA from 1 species